rnacentral:rRNA from 1 species
CAACCCUGAUCCAGCCAUUCCGCGUGAGUGAAGAAGGCCUUCGGGUUGUAAAGCUCUUUCAGCUGGAACGAAACGGUGCGCUCUAACAUAGCGUGCUAAUGACGGUACCAGCAGAAGAAGCACCGGCUAACUACGUGCCAGCAGCCGCGGUAAUA